GUCCACGCCGUAAACGAUGUCUACUAGCCGUUGGGAGACUUGAUUUCUUAGUGGCGCAGCUAACGCACUAAGUAGACCGCCUGGGGAGUACGGCCGCAAGGUUAAAACUCAAAUGAAUUGACGGGGCCCGCACAAGCGGUGGAGCAUGUGGUUUAAUUCGAUGCAACGCGAAGAACCUUACCAGGUCUUGACAUCCUCGGAACUUGGCAGAGAUGCCUUGGUGCCUUCGGGAACCGAGAGACAGGUGCUGCAUGGCUGUCGU
rnacentral:rRNA from 1 species